GACGAACGCUGGCGGCGUGCUUAACACAUGCAAGUCGAACGGUGAAGCUCCAGCUUGCUGGAGUGGAUCAGUGGCGAACGGGUGAGUAACACGUGAGCAACCUGCCCCUGACUCUGGAAUAAGCGCUGGAAACGGCGUCUAAUACUGGAUACGAGAAGGGUCCGCAUGGGCACUUUCUGGAAAGUUUUUCGGUUGGGGAUGGGCUCGCGGUCUACCAGCUUGGUGGUGAGGUAAUGGCCCACCAAGGCGACGACGGGUAGCCGGCCUGAGAGGGCGACCGGCCACACUGGGACUGAGACACGGGCCAAACUCCUACGGGAGGCAGCGGUAGGAAAUAAUGCACAAUGGGCUAAAACCAAAUGCAGCGACGCCGCGUGAGGGAUGACGGCCUUCGGGUUGUAAACCUCUUUCAGCAGGGAAGAAGCGAAAGUGACGGUACCUGCAGAAGAAGCACCGGCUAACUACGUG
rnacentral:rRNA from 1 species